GCGGCACAUGCAUAGAGUAUUAAAUAUAGACGAAAACAAAAAUUAAUUACACAGUUUACAUGUAAUUUGUGAGACGAAUCUUUUGAGCCCGGUUAGUCCAGGAUUAGACAAUAUUUGUCAAAUACAAACGAAAAUACUACAGUAUCCGGAAUCGCAAAAUUUAGGUUGGUUCAUCAGUCUUCCCUCGGAACAAGUCUGCUCAACGAUUGACAUUCCUAAGCCCUGAUUCAAGGUUUACCAGCGGUGCCAAGGGCUGUAUGCAACGAUUGGGCAUACUCCUGGCAACUAGGCAUGAAAAGAGAACAAAGUGAAAUACAUUUCCAUCCUAAUUACAAAAUUACCACGUCCCACUUCCUUUUGAUCAACCAAUCGGAAUGGAGCCUUUGCUUUUUCUCAAGCUUCCAACUAACACUAUCCUCACUUGUCAAAAAAAAAAAACUAACAAUAUCCUCAUCAUCAGCAUCUUCAUUGGUCUACAAAGCCAUAGCUGAAAGUACUAUUCGUUGAUUUAUUAUAAGAGAAAAAUACUGUUGAUUGGUAUUAUAAGACAAGCGAACGGAGCCGACGCCUUCCCUUUUUUAUUGAUUGGGAAUUGGUUCACAUACAUUUUAUUU
rnacentral:lncRNA from 1 species